AUGGCAACAGAAUCCACAACAACAAUGACUUUUAUCAGCAUCUUCAUCUGGGCACUUGUCAUCUGCACUCAGGAAUCCAGUGGACAGUAUACUGUGACUCAGACUCCAGCAGUGAAAUCUGUUCUCCCAGGAGACACAGUCGCUCUGAGCUGUAAAGUCAGCAGCGCAGUGUACAGUAACAACUACCUAGCCUGGUACCAACAGAAACCUGGAGAAGCUCCCAAACUCCUGAUCUAUUUGGCAAGUACCCUUCAGUCUGGGAUCCCAACUCGUUUCAGUGGCAGGGGAUCUGGGACUGACUUCACUCUGACCAUCAGUGGAGUCCAGGCUGAAGAUGCAGGAGAUUACUACUGUCAGAGUUUACACAUUGGUGGUGUGUUCACACA